rnacentral:rRNA from 1 species
AUUGAACGCUGGCGGAAUGCUUUACACAUGCAAGUCGAACGGCAGCACGGACUUCGGUCUGGUGGCGAGUGGCGAACGGGUGAGUAAUGUAUCGGAACGUGCCCAGUCGCGGGGGAUAACGUAGUGAAAAUUACGCUAAUACCGCAAACCAUCUAUGGAUGAAAGCGGGGGAUCGCAAGACCUCGCGCGAGUGGAGCGGCCGAUAUCAGAUUAGGUAGUUGGUGGGGGAAAGGCCCACCAAGCCAACGAUCUGUAGCUGGUCUGAGAGGACGACCAGCCACACUGGAACUGAGACACGGUCCAGACUCCUACGGGAGGCAGCAGUGGGGAAUUUUGGACAAUGGGCGAAAGCCUGAUCCAGCCAUUCCGCGUGCAGGAUGAAGGCCCUCGGGUUGUAAACUGCUUUUGUACAGAACGAAAAGGUUUCUACUAAUACUAGGAGCUCAUGACGGUACUGUAAGAAUAAGCACCGGCUAACUACGUGCCAGCCGCCGCGGUAA